CCCUACCGCUAGUUGCCAGCAUGUCAUGAUGGGGACUCUAGCGGGACUGCCGGUGCAAACCGCGAGGAAGGUGGGGACGACGUCAAAUCAUCACGGCCCUUACGUCCUGGGCCACACACGUGCUACAAUGGCCGGUACAGCGGGAAGCCACGCCGCAAGGCGGAGCGGAUCCACAAAACCGGUCACAGUUCGGAUCGGGGUCUGCAACCCGACCCCGUGAAGCUGGAAUCGCUAGUAAUCGGAUAUCAGCCAUGAUCCGGUGAAUACGUUCCCGGGCCUUGGACACACCGCCCGU
rnacentral:rRNA from 1 species